rnacentral:rRNA from 1 species
AUUGAACGCUGGCGGCAUGCUUUACACAUGCAAGUCGAACGGUAACAGGCCGCAAGGUGCUGACGAGUGGCGAACGGGUGAGUAAUGCAUCGGAACGUGCCCAGUCGUGGGGGAUAACGCAGCGAAAGCUGUGCUAAUACCGCAUACGAUCUAUGGAUGAAAGCGGGGGACCGUAAGGCCUCGCGCGAUUGGAUCGGCCGAUGUCAGAUUAGGUAGUUGGUGGGGUAAAGGCCUACCAAGCCGACGAUCUGUAGCUGGUCUGAGAGGACGACCAGCCACACUGGGACUGAGACACGGCCCAGACUCCUACGGGAGGCAGCAGUGGGGAAUUUUGGACAAUGGGCGCAAGCCUGAUCCAGCAAUGCCGCGUGCAGGAAGAAGGCCUUCGGGUUGUAAACUGCUUUUGUACGGAACGAAACGGUCUGGGCUAAUACCCUGGGCUAAUGACGGUACCGUAAGAAUAAGCACCGGCUAACUACGUGCCAGCCGCCGCGGUAAAAC